CAUUACUCAAGAGAGGAAGCGAAUACAGCAACAGGCUUUUGAAGUUGUGCCGCUGCAUACUAUUCACAUGUAAACAAUGCGUGAUGUUAAUGGCAGAGUUUACAUUUUUUAAACAUGGUUUCUCAACCUGUAGCUACCCUCAUCACAGAGGGCUUAAGAGUAAUAUCACUUUUUAAUUGAAACAUGUUUUUAAAUAGGCCCGCUUCAUUUGGUUUUGUUGCCUAUAAAAUAAGCCAUUACAAGAAGACCUCGGUGGAAGCAUCCGGAAUCUUUUUCGUUCCUGCCUCAUCAGUCUGUUAAACCUAUAUAGCCUUCUUAGUGUCGUUGGUCGGUAACGUAUUUUCAACUUCAAAUUUGCGUUCUUGCGCGCCCGGGUUGGACUGUUUCCUGCAGUGAUUCGAUGGGAAUGUUCAAACUUUGAAGAGCAGGAAGGUGACUGAGGUGGAGAGAAGCAACGGAAGAGAGGGAAAGGCCGUUGGAAGCCAGAGGAGGAGAGGAGAGGAGGGGAGGGGAGGAAAGGCGGGCGCGAUGGAGUCCCCCACCCAGGAUCAGUCGGCGACGGUCGACGAGCUGGUGGACGCCUGCAUCCAAGCCUUCGAUGACAAAGGCUCCUUGAAGGAGCCUUCCCAGGUGCGCAUGUUCCUCAUGAUGCAUCCUUGGUACCUCCCCUCCACCGAGCUCGCCAGGAUGCUCCUGCAGAAAUCCCAGACAGAGAACUGUACUGCUGAGCUCCGGACGAAAAUCUGCCACCUAGUCAAGUACUGGAUCUCGGAGUUCCCGGCUGAGUUUGACCUCAACCUGGAGCUGGCCGAGCAGAUCAAAGGCCUGAAGGACCUGCUUACCCUGGAGGGAAAUGAGCGCCAGAGUCGCCUGAUUGACAUUGAGAACGUGCCGUCGUACGAGUGGAAGCGGCAGGUGACGCAGCGAGUCCCCUCCGUCUCCAAGAAGAGGAAGAUGUCCCUGCUCUUCGAUCACCUGGACUCCUGCGAGCUGGCGGAGCACCUCACCUACCUGGAGUACAAGUCCUUCUGCAAGAUCCUGUUCCAGGACUACCACAGCUUUGUGAUGCACGGCUGCACUGUGGACAACCCCAUCCUGGAGCGCUUCAUCACCCUGUUCAACAGCGUGUCCCAGUGGAUCCAGCUAAUGGUGCUGAGCAAGCCCACCGCCCCCCAGAGAGCGGCCGUCAUCUCGCACUUCAUCCGCGUGGCUCAGAAACUGCUGCAGCUGCAGAACUUCAACACGCUGAUGGCGGUGGUGGGCGGCCUGAGCAACAGCUCCAUCUCCAGGCUCAAGGACACGCAGUCGCACAUCAGCAGUGAGACCAACAAGGUGUUCAACAGCCUGACGGAGCUGGUGACGUCCUGCGGGAACUACAGCCAGUACCGCCGGCGCUUCGCCGAGUGCUCGGGGUUCCGCUUCCCCAUCCUGGGCGUGCACCUGAAGGACCUGAUCGCCGUGCACGUGGCUCUGUCCGACUGGGCCGACCCGGAGAAGACGCGGGUCAACCUGGCCAAGACCCAGCAGCUCUACGCCAUCCUGCAGGAGCUGGCGCUCGUCCAGGCCACGGCCCCCGGCAUGGACGCCAACACCGACCUGCUCAACCUGCUCACGGUGUCUCUGGAUCAGUACCACACCGAGGAGGAGAUCUAUCAGAUGUCCCUGCAGCGGGAACCCCGCAGCUCCAAGCCAGCGGCCGCUAACCCCACCCCUAGUCCCACCCCUAAGCCCACCAUGAUAGAUGAAUGGGCGUCGUCCGUGAAACCCAAAGCUGACCCUGCUAUCAUCACCAAACAUAUUGAAAAGAUGGUAGAGUCUGUGUUUAAGAAUUUCGACACGGACGGGGACGGUCACAUCUCCCAGGAGGAGUUUGAGAUCAUUAGAAACAACUUUCCGUAUCUCAGCAAAUUCGGCGAACUGGACAAAAACCAUGAUGGCAGGAUCAGUCGAGAGGAGAUGGUGGAUUACUUCAUGAAAGCCAGCUCCCUGCUCAACUGCAAGAUGGGCUUCAUCCACUCUUUCACCGAGACCACCUACGUCAAGCCAACUUUCUGUGAACACUGCGCAGGCUUCAUAUGGGGUUUUUACAAGCAGGGAUACAAAUGUAAAGCAUGCGGGGUGAACUGCCACAAGGCGUGCCGGACUCGUUUGGCCGUGGAGUGCCGCAAACGAGCUAAAAGCAUCAGCCACGAGACUCCGCCCUCCCUCCACGCCCGGUCCUACAGCUUCCCUCUCCCAGCCAAUGCUCCGCCCAGCCUGAAGGACACAGGUAGCUCCGCCCCUUCCCCCCUCCAGCCAAUGCUCCGCCCAGCCUGAAGGACACAGUGAUCGCAGAGGAGGACAUUGAGGCUGUAGAAGAGGGAGUCUUCGAUGUCCACCUAUAACCAGCUACAGGUGGAACUUAAACGAAGUAGGGACACUGCACUGAGAACAACGCAAGACACCUGGAGGCUGCCACCCAGUGGAACGAUAUUGCAAUUACACCCCAGCGCCCUCCAUUAAUGGACCGCUGUCCACAGCUUUGAUGUUUGACGGGAUCAUGCAUGUGUUUAUGAUCUUCAUUUCGGUAUAUUUCUCUCUCCUUCCGACAAUAUUGUUUCUCGCUCUUCCUCUCUUCCUGUCCACCGUCUCCCUCUUAAACGAUCGGCACCAAUGCAGUCCUUGAAAACAGCUGAAAUGAAAAAAAUUAAAAAAUUAAGCAAGAGUGUGGAUUCAUAAGAGGACUAUUAAAUUCAUUGUAAUACAUAGUUUUCACAGAAUGGUGCUCCUGAGGUCAGAUAGUCCAUCUGCCUUGGUCCUGAUUGUUCUAACCCUUUUUAUGGGAUGGUAAUUUGCAUUGCCUGGGUUAUGAAUCUUUUCUCCUGUGUGGGAGUGCUCCACCUUGAUGAGAUGGACCCAGCUUGCCGUGCCACAAAAGAAAGAAAUGAUAAAAUACAAUUUCAUGAAGGACAGCAGCAAUUAGGAAGUCCUGUACAUAUUAUAUACUUCACCGCCGAGGGUUAAUGGUUUCACUUAUUCUAUUGCUACUACUAAUCUGUGUCCUGUUUUUACAUCAGUUUAUCUUGAUAUUUAUAACCGUGACUAUUGUGGUGCAAUAUGCUAAUGCUUGAAUGUAGUGCCUCAUAAUAUUUCCCAACCCCCUAGUACUUGGAAUACUGUACUGAUUAAUUAAUUCGUGGUGAGGAUUUUGACUGUGUAAUAUUAGUCUAAUAUGGUGUGCAGUCUCUGUUUGUGUUUGGUGUAUUCGGGUGGGGAUGGGUGGCCGGAGCUUCCCAGUGUGGGACUUAUUAACUAUCGGUUCUGACCUUGGUGUUGUUGGUGCGUCAGUGUGGGAGAGGGACUGUGUGGCCAAUGCUGGUGACAGGUGGAAGAGAACUCAUUGACCACCAUGAUAGGCAGAGCUACACUGAGCUGUAAACCAAUCGAUGACUUAGUUCUCCCCCAAAAGGCUACCACGAUUGGUUCAAAAUGGUGAGUCGCUAAUAAUGUGAUUUAUUUUUGGGUUCUCAGAAGUUUCACUUACUCUUUGCUGGUGAAUACCCCACUAGGGGCGACAUAGCUCAGGAGGUAAGACCGAUUGUCUGGCAGUCGGAGGGUUGCCGGUUCAAAACCCCCCCUGGGCAUGUCGAAGUGUCCUUGAGCAAGACACCUAACCCCUAACUGCUCUGGCAAAUGAGAGGCAUCAAUUGUAAAGUGCUUUGGAUAAAAGCGCUAUAUAAAUGCAGUCCAUUUAGAUUUCAGUGCUAUAUGCUGGGUAUGGAAAAGGUCAAGUCAUUUAUUAAUUGGUUGGGGGAAAAAAAGAAAAACAUUGGUGACCCAGUGCUGUUUUUUCCCCCAUGUAAUAAACUUCCAAACUUGUGUCUAUGUUUUAUAAAUGUUCUUAACCAAAUAUGCUGAUUCUCUACAUGCAGUUUGCCUGUGUGUAUGUACCUUGUCCUUAGGAAACUCACUUCUUUAUGCGUUGUGUUUGUGCACACAGAAGUUUUAUAUAUCAGUGAGAUGUUUUGCUUUCUGUCUGGAAUAAAACUAAUUUCAGAAGUGCCAAAUGAAUAAAAAGGGAGGUUAUGAGGAAA